GAUGAACGCUGGCGGCGUGCCUAAUACAUGCAAGUCGAGCGAACAGACGAGGAGCUUGCUCCUCUGACGUUAGCGGCGGACGGGUGAGUAACACGUGGAUAACCUACCUAUAAGACUGGGAUAACUUCGGGAAACCGGAGCUAAUACCGGAUAAUAUAUUGAACCGCAUGGUUCAAUAGUGAAAGACGGUUUUGCUGUCACUUAUAGAUGGAUCCGCGCCGCAUUAGCUAGUUGGUAAGGUAACGGCUUACCAAGGCAACGAUGCGUAGCCGACCUGAGAGGGUGAUCGGCCACACUGGAACUGAGACACGGUCAAGACUCCUACGGGAGGCAGCAGUAGGGAAUCUUCCGCAAUGGGCGAAAGCCUGACGGAGCAACGCCGCGUGAGUGAUAAAGGUCUUCGGAUCGUAAAACUCUGUUAUUAGGGAAGAACAAAUGUGUAAGUAACUAUGCACGUCUUGACGGUACCUAAUCAGAAAGCCACGGCUAACUACGUG
rnacentral:rRNA from 1 species